GAAAUACCGUUAAUAUUGUCUUUAGAACCAGCCGGUAAAAAAAUGAGCAACUUUUAGACAUCGUAUGGCCAUCGCGCCAUCAUCGUAAUCCAUCAUGUAGCCUUCGUAAUCCAUCGUGUAGCCUUCGUGAUCCAUAGUGUAGGCUUCGGCUGAGAUAUGAAGCUUAAAUACCCCUCUUCGGUUAACCUUCGUAUGUCCAUCUUUUGCU
rnacentral:lncRNA from 1 species